GUCAACUGCCCCUACCUGAAGAACAGCGCAAGAGUUGAUUAUAGUGCUUUGAAACGUGAAAGAAAAGCAGAAGUUAGAUCGGAGAAAUACAUACACACCUACGGAUUCUCCGCAAGUCCGUAGCUCUGUG
rnacentral:sRNA from 14 species